AUUGAAUGCUGGCGGAAUGCUUUACACAUGCAAGUCGAACGGCAGCACGGACUUCGGUCUGGUGGCGAGUGGCGAACGGGUGAGUAAUGUAUCGGAACGUGCCCAGUCGUGGGGGAUAACGUAGUGAAAAUUACGCUAAUACCGCAUACGAUCUAUGGAUGAAAGCGGGGGAUGGCAAGACCUCGCGCGAUUGGAGCGGCCGAUAUCAGAUUAGGUAGUUGGUGGGGUAAAGGCCCACCAAGCCAACGAUCUGUAGCUGGUCUGAGAGGACGACCAGCCACACUGGAACUGAGACACGGUCCAGACUCCUACGGGAGGCAGCAGUGGGGAAUUUUGGACAAUGGGCGAAAGCCUGAUCCAGCCAUUCCGCGUGCAGGAUGAAGGCCCUCGGGUUGUAAACCGCUUUUGUACAGAACGAAAAGGUUUCUACUAAUACUAGGAGCUCAUGACGGUACUGUAAGAAUAAGCACCGGCUAACUACGUGCCAGCCGCCGCAGUAA
rnacentral:rRNA from 1 species